AAUUACACAUUACAUAGACAACGCAUAACAACAUAAAACAGACUUAUAGACAAAGGGGAAUAAGUCAAAUAUAUUCCAAUGCUAUUACUUCUCUUAUAUUAAUAAAAUGCACACAUAACGUCUCAUAAUCAUGUGCUCUAAAGUAUUAUAAAUAAGCAUAAACACUAGCAUUCUCAAUGUUAAUGUUCCGACAAUUACAUAUAAUCACUAUAACACUAAACAG
rnacentral:lncRNA from 1 species